rnacentral:rRNA from 1 species
CCUACGGGUGGCAGCAGUGAGGAAUAUUGGUCAAUGGGAGGAAUCCUGAACCAGCCAUGCCGCGUGCAGGACGACGGCUCUACGAGUUGUAAACUGCUUUUGUACCGGGGUAAAAUGCUCUACGAGUAGGGUUUUGAAAGUACGGUACGAAUAAGGAUCGGCUAACUCCGUGCCAGCAGCCGCGGUAAUACGGAGGAUCCGAGCGUUAUCCGGAUUUAUUGGGUUUAAAGGGUGCGUAGGUUGUUUUAUAAGUUAGCGGUGAAAUACCGAUGCUCAACAUCGGGGCUGCCGCUGAUACUGUAGGACUAGAGAGCGGAUGCAGCAGGCGGAAUGGGUAGUGUAGCGGUGAAAUGCAUAGAUAUUACACAGAACACCGAUUGCGAAGGCAGCUUGCUAGGCCGGAUCUGACACUGAUGCACGAAAGCGUGGGGAUCGAACAGGAUUAGAUACCCUUGUAGUC